rnacentral:rRNA from 1 species
UACAGAGGUGGCAAGCGUUGUUCGGAAUUACUGGGCGUAAAGGGCGCGUAGGCGGUUCGAUAAGUCCCGUGUGAAAUCCCUCGGCCCAACUGAGGAAUGGCACGGGAAACUGACGGGCUUGAGUUCGGGAGAGGGAAGCGGAAUUCCGGGUGUAGCGGUGAAAUGCGUAGAUAUCCGGAGGAACACCGGUGGCGAAGGCGGCUUCCUGGACCGACACUGACGCUGAGGCGCGAAAGCUAGGGGAGCAAACGGG